UACAGAGGAUGCAAGCGUUAUCCGGAAUGAUUGGGCGUAAAGCGCCCGUAGGCGGCCUGACAAGUUGGACGUGAAAGCUCCUGGCUUAACUGGGAGAGGCCGUUCAAAACUGUCAAGCUAGAGUCUGGAAGAGGAGAGCGGAAUUCCCGGUGUAGUGGUGGAAUGCGUAGAGAUCGGGAGGAACACCAGUGGCGAAAGCGGCUCUCUGGUCCAAAACUGACGCUGAGGGGCGAAAGCGUGGGGAGCGAACGGG
rnacentral:rRNA from 1 species